rnacentral:rRNA from 1 species
UACGGGGGGGGCAAGCGUUGUUCGGAAUUACUGGGCGUAAAGGGCUCGUAGGUGGCCAACUAAGUCAGACGUGAAAUCCCUCGGCUCAACCGGGGAACUGCGUCUGAUACUGGAUGGCUUGAAUUCGGGAGAGGGAUGCGGAAUUCCAGGUGUAGCGGUGAAAUGCGUAGAUAUCGUGAGGAACACCAGAGGCGAAGGCGACUUCCUGGACAAUUGCUGACGCUCAGGCACGAAAGCGUGGGGAGCCAAAGGG